CGAGUGUCUCCGCGCACAUCGCCACUGUUCUCCGAGAGCUUGAAGCAAUCGGAGUAACGCAACGACUCGCAACGGCGCGAGGGGUCCAACGUCGAAUCUUUACGCACGAAACUCGCGACGGAGCGAGAAGAAGUCGCAUGUCUCGGCCAAGGUCCGUAGAGGAACGGAACAAGAAUAUUGCGUCUUCGAUUCUUCGGAGCUUGGCGAAACUGGUAGGAAAUUGAGCCGCGAGGUUCGGCCCUGCUGUGCACACGCAUCGUUCUCCCAUCUCGCACCGAGGGUGCGUGCGCGUGUCCGGACGCAGAGCGCCAUGUGUUCCGCUGACGAUGGAUAUAAUGUACGCCUACCCACGGAAAUACGCUUCUUGACGGAUCGCCCGACUAAUUCGGUAGUUGUCACCGGGUAUGCGCGUGGAUUGAUGACGACCACCUAGCCGCACCCGCCGCGAAUUCCUCGGAAAUUCUUCGGCCUCGAGGAAGAGACCGAAGAACUUGGCUGCUUAAUUGGGACUUUCGCCGCGACAAUGAUGACGGUAAUAAUAGAGCCUUAAUUCGCUCGGCGACUUUGCGCGCGUCUAGACGAGGAAGUCUCUUCGCGCGUGUGUCCUCGUUUUUUUCCUUUUCUUUUCUUGGUCUUUGUCGUGAAGCUUCGGCGCAAGCUUUUUGUUUGUUUUCGCGUGUAAUUUUGGAAAUCUCUGAAGAGGCGCGAGUGACUCAAACAAUGACAUGGACACCA